rnacentral:rRNA from 1 species
UACGUAGGGGGCUAGCGUUGUCCGGAUUUAUUGGGCGUAAAGAGCGUGUAGGCGGCCGAGUAAGUCCGGUGUGAAAACUCGAGGCUUAACCUCGAGAUGUCAUCGGAAACUAUUCGGCUAGAGUCCGGAAGAGGAGAGUGGAAUUCCUGGUGUAGCGGUGAAAUGCGCAGAUAUCAGGAAGAACACCCGUGGCUAAGGCGGUUCUCUAGUACGGUACUGACGCUGAGACGCGAAAGCGUGGGGAGCGAACAGG